rnacentral:rRNA from 1 species
UCAAGUGAAGAAGCGCAUACGGUGGAUGCCUUGGCAGUCAGAGGCGAUGAAAGACGUGGUAGCCUGCGAAAAGCUUCGGGGAGUCGGCAAACAGACUUUGAUCCGGAGAUGUCUGAAUGGGGGAACCCAGCCAUCAUAAGAUGGUUAUCUUAAGCUGAAUACAUAGGCUUAAGAGGCGAACCAGGGGAACUGAAACAUCUAAGUACCCUGAGGAAAAGAAAUCAACCGAGAUUCCCUUAGUAGUGGCGAGCGAACGGGGACUAGCCCUUAAGUGGCUUUGAGAUUAGCGGAACGCUCUGGAAAGUGCGGCCAUAGUGGGUGAUAGCCCUGUACGCGAAAAUCUCUUAGUCAUGAAAUCGAGUAGGACGGAGCACGAGAAACUUUGUCUGAAUAUGGGGGGACCAUCCUCCAAGGCUAAAUACUCCUGACUGACCGAUAGUGAACUAGUACCGUGAGGGAAAGGCGAAAAGAACCCCGGAGAGGGGAGUGAAAUAGAUCCUGAAACCGUAUGCGUACAAGCAGUGGGAGCCCACUUUGUUGGGUGACUGCGUACCUUUUGUAUAAUGGGUCAGCGACUUAUUUUCAGUGGCGAGCUUAACCGAAUAGGGGAGGCGUAGCGAAAGCGAGUCUUAAUAGGGCGUCUAGUCGCUGGGAAUAGACCCGAAACCGGGCGAUCUAUCCAUGGGCAGGUUGAAGGUUAGGUAACACUGACUGGAGGACCGAACCGACUACCGUUGAAAAGUUAGCGGAUGACCUGUGGAUCGGAGUGAAAGGCUAAUCAAGCUCGGAGAUAGCUGGUUCUCCUCGAAAGCUAUUUAGGUAGCGCCUCAUGUAUCACUGUAGGGGGUAGAGCACUGUUUCGGCUAGGGGGUCAUCCCGACUUACCAAACCGAUGCAAACUCCGAAUACCAGCAAGUGUCAGCACGGGAGACACACGGCGGGUGCUAACGUCCGUCGUGAAAAGGGAAACAACCCAGACCGUCAGCUAAGGUCCCAAAGUUAUGGUUAAGUGGGAAACGAUGUGGGAAGGCUUAGACAGCUAGGAGGUUGGCUUAGAAGCAGCCACCCUUUAAAGAAAGCGUAAUAGCUCACUAGUCGAGUCGGCCUGCGCGGAAGAUGUAACGGGGCUCAAACCAUACACCGAAGCUACGGGUAUCACUUAGGUGAUGCGGUAGAGGAGCGUUCUGUAAGCCUGUGAAGGUGAGUUGAGAAGCUUGCUGGAGGUAUCAGAAGUGCGAAUGCUGACAUGAGUAACGACAAUGGGUGUGAAAAACACCCACGCCGAAAGACCAAGGUUUCCUGCGCAACGUUAAUCGACGCAGGGUUAGUCGGUCCCUAAGGCGAGGCUGAAAAGCGUAGUCGAUGGAAAACAGGUUAAUAUUCCUGUACUUCUGGUUAUUGCGAUGGAGGGACGGAGAAGGCUAGGCCAGCUUGGCGUUGGUUGUCCAAGUUUAAGGUGGUAGGCUGGAAUCUUAGGUAAAUCCGGGAUUCUAAGGCCGAGAGCUGAUGACGAGUGUUCUUUUAGAACACGAAGUGGUUGAUGCCAUGCUUCCAAGAAAAGCUUCUAAGCUUCAGGUAACCAGGAACCGUACCCCAAACCGACACAGGUGGUUGGGUAGAGAAUACCAAGGCGCUUGAGAGAACUCGGGUGAAGGAACUAGGCAAAAUGGCACCGUAACUUCGGGAGAAGGUGCGCCGGUGAGGGUGAAGUACUUGCUACGUAAGCCCACGCCGGUCGAAGAUACCAGGCCGCUGCGACUGUUUAUUAAAAACACAGCACUCUGCAAACACGAAAGUGGACGUAUAGGGUGUGACGCCUGCCCGGUGCCGGAAGGUUAAUUGAUGGGGUUAGCUAACGCGAAGCUCUUGAUCGAAGCCCCGGUAAACGGCGGCCGUAACUAUAACGGUCCUAAGGUAGCGAAAUUCCUUGUCGGGUAAGUUCCGACCUGCACGAAUGGCGUAACGA